rnacentral:rRNA from 1 species
GACGAACCGUCCGAACGUUAUUCGGAAUUACUGGGCUUAAAGGGUGCGUAGGCGGUGCUGUAAGUCGGGUGUGAAAUCCCACAGCUCAACUGUGGAACUGCGCCCGAUACUGCAGUGCUAGAGGGAGACAGAGGUAAGCGGAACUGAUGGUGGAGCGGUGAAAUGCGUUGAUAUCAUCAGGAACACCGGUGGCGAAAGCGGCUUACUGGGUCUCUUCUGACGCUGAGGCACGAAAGCUAGGGUAGCGAACGGGAUUAGAAACCCCCGUAGUCC